UUCAACUGAUUGAAUGAGGCUCACCUACACUGUGGAAGAGAAAACUCUGUUAACCCCGGACACACAAGCCUAGUGUGUGCAGAAUGGAAGUCUCUUCAGAAUAAGAGGAAAUGGACAUGUAGCAGAGGCUGUUGGCGCCUGAUCCAGAUCCCCUUUUGCGAUGAGGGUCCCGACACACCCUGAAGAAGCUGGGGGAAAACUUCUUCCUCCCGAACGGAAUCGAAGAGCUUCCAGAAAAAGUGAUUCGCUAAGUGGCUGAAGUUUUGGAAAGAGAAGGGAGAGAAGAGGCUUCCAUGGGAAAAAAACAAAUGGGUUUCUAAGGGAACAAACAGGAGAUGAGGAAAUUUGUGAUAAUGUUUGUUUAUGCAGAUGUGAGUGGUCCUUUCCAUCUUUUCCAUGGCCAUAAAGCUCCCCCAGAGGAUGGAAUUUAUGACAGUUUCACUCCCAGAAGUUUCUGCUUUUAGUGAGAUAAAGAAAGCUCUAAGAAGGCUUUUUCUGCCUCUGUUAAUCUCAGAUGUCUUCAAUUUUAAAAUAAUUUUAUGUGAACUCCGAGUGUCAAAGUGGGUACCCACACCUCUCACCUGAAUAACCACAACACCCUCCUAGCUGGUAUCCCUGAUUCCUCUCCGGCUUCCCACCGGUAUGUUCCCCCCACAGCAGCCAGAAGGACAUCUUGAAAACUGAAAUCAGUUAAUGCCACCCUUGUGCUUAAACACCUCUGCAGACCCGCAGCCCAGAUCUCGGUUCUGAAUACUGUUCUCUAAUAAAAGGAGCUAGGGCUCCUUAGAGAAAUGAUGGGUUCUAGGACUGGGCAGGGAAUGUACAGAUGAGCCUGGAGCGCCUUGCAGUGCCAGAGAAUAAUGAAGUGCUCAAGAAACAAAAUGAUGGCGCUAUGUCUCAAAAGGACACAGGAGUCAACUGAAGGAGGUCCUAGUGGCUAAAGCUGGAAUAAUUUAGGCAACAAAAGAAACAAUAUAGUUUUGGACUAUAACCCAAAGUACAACGUCCGUAUCGUGAGUCUAUACUGACAUCGACAGAUAAUUUUUUGGAUAAUUAUUCAGAUAGAUGGGGCAGAAGAGACAAAUCUCCUGUACAGAAGAAUUCCAAAUAAUUUUUGAAGAUACUCCCCCAUCAAGAACAGAGCAGAGCUUCCUGUCCCUUAAGGGUGGGCAGCACAUGGAGACUCUUUCUAAAGGACAGAACAUGGGAGGAGGGAAAAGAGGGUCAUGUUACUGCAGAGAGAGUGACAAAUGCUGCCUCAGCCAGGGGGUCAAGGUCGAAGCUAACAGUUGAUAAGUCAUGUACCCUUGUUACGAUGUGAUGAGAGGUGCAAUGUUCUUCCAUGGUCUUUCUCCCAGAAUCACAGUCGAGUAACUCAUAACCCAUGAGAAAAAACAUUAGCCAAAACCAAACUGAAGGACAGUCUACAUAAUACCUGACCAGGACUCCUCAAAACUGUCAAGAUCAUCAAAAACAAGGAAAGUCUGGGAAACCAUCACCACCAAGAGGAGCCUCGGGAGAUAGGACCUCUAAAAGGAAUGUGGUAUCUUGGAUGGAAUCCAAGGAUAGAAAUGGAAUCCAUGGACAGAAAAAGGACAUUGGGCAA